UCUCACUUUAUGAACAAAGGGAAUUUCUUUCUGACAUUUGCACGCAGAACCCCAGCUCCAGCAGGAGGUAAAAUCUGUGAUGCUGUAUGUCUGAUAUUGGCCUUAGGAAACUUUAUAUCAAAUGUUUCAGAUAUUCACUCUGCUUUUGUUGGGAAGUAAAUUGGUUUUGUAUUUUAACAGGGUAGCAUGCAAGGUGAGGGACAUGAAGACGAUUAGUCUUCAGUGGAACAAGGAGAUCUCACCACCUGUUUCUGUGUUGAAUCAGGCUGUCUUAGAGAAGGGAACUGAGUAUCAGACUGUGGCCUUCAUCUCAAAGAGCAUGUUAUUUCUGAAGGCAACAGAUGAAAGCAGAAGUCUUUUCUGUGACAAAGAUGAUCUUUUUACUAGUGCAAGUACCUGCAAAUGGGGGAAAAAAGUAAUUUAUAAAGGCCUUUCUUCUAUUUCUCAGUGGUUUUGUGUUGAAGGGGAGCACUCUACAUGUCAGACUAAAGUGGGUUGUUCACAUUGUUCAAUGUGACAGCGGUGAUAAAGAAUCCAUCUGAGGCAAUGUGUUGUCCAAGCACUGGUUGUUCUUACAGCAUAUUCAUGUGUUUGAGAAGUGGAUGACAGAUGGAUGACUGACUAAGAAACAAAAAGCCCUUGUGGAUUUUACUGGGUUUGGGAUUAGACUGGGAAGGUGUGGCUGUAACACCUCUUAUCGAUAAGCACAUGAACGAUGUUGCUUAUCAGCAUGUCUGAGAGUACCAACACAGACAGAAACAUUUUU